AUAUGGUCAAGUGACGAAGCGUACACGGUGGAUGCCUUGGCAGCCAGAGGCGAUGAAGGACGUUGUAGCCUGCGAUAAGCUUCGGGGAGUCGGCAAACAGACUUUGAUCCGGAGAUUUCCGAAUGGGGAAACCCACCCUUUAUGGGUAUCCUGUACUGAAUCCAUAGGUGCAGGAGGCGAACGCGGGGAACUGAAACAUCUAAGUACCCGUAGGAACAGAAAUCAAUUGAGAUUCCGUCAGUAGCGGCGAGCGAACGCGGAUUAGCCCUUAAGCAUAUGACUGAUUAGGAGAACGGUCUGGGAAGGCCGGCCAUAGUGGGUGAUAGCCCCGUAUCCGAAAAUCUGAAUAUGUGAAAACGAGUAGGUCGGGGCACGUGAAACCUUGACUGAACAUGGGGGGACCAUCCUCCAAGGCUAAAUACUCCUGGCUGACCGAUAGUGAACCAGUACCGUGAGGGAAAGGCGAAAAGAACCCCGGAGAGGGGAGUGAAAUAGACCCUGAAACCGUGUACGUACAAGCAGUCGGAGCCCGCUUUGUUGGGUGACGGCGUACCUUUUGUAUAAUGGGUCAGCGACUUAUUCUCAGUAGCGAGGUUAACCAAUUAGGGGAGCCGUAGGGAAACCGAGUCUGAAUAGGGCGAUGUAGUUGCUGGGAAUAGACCCGAAACCGAGCGAUCUACCCAUGGGCAGGUUGAAGGUGCGGUAACACGCACUGGAGGACCGAACCGGGAUCUGUUGAAAAAGAUUCGGAUGACCUGUGGGUCGGAGUGAAAGGCUAAUCAAGCUCGGAGAUAGCUGGUUCUCCCCGAAAGCUAUUUAGGUAGCGCCUCGGACGAAUACCACUGGGGGUAGAGCACUGUUUCGGCUAGGGGGCCAUCCCGGCUUACCAACCCGAUGCAAACUCCGAAUACCAGUGAGUACUAUCCGGGAGACACACGGCGGGUGCUAACGUUCGUCGUGAAGAGGGAAACAACCCAGACCGCCAGCUAAGGUCCCCAAAUUCCAGUUAAGUGGGAAACGAUGUGGGAAGGCUCAGACAGCUAGGAGGUUGGCUUAGAAGCAGCCAUCCUUUAAAGAAAGCGUAAUAGCUCACUAGUCGAGUCGGCCUGCGCGGAAGAUGUAACGGGGCUCAAACUGGAUACCGAAGCUGCGGCAGCGUGCUUAUGCAUGCUGGGUAGGGGAGCGUUCUGUAAGUCUGUGAAGGUGUGUUGAGAAGCAUGCUGGAGAUAUCAGAAGUGCGAAUGCUGACGUGAGUAACGAUAAUGGGGGUGAAAAACCUCCACGCCGAAAGACCAAGGUUUCCUGCGCAACGCUAAUCGGCGCAGGGUAAGUCGGCCCCUAAGGCGAGGCAGAAAUGCGUAGCUGAUGGGAAACGGGUUAAUAUUCCCGUACUUCUUAUAACUGCGAUGGAGAGACGGAGAAGGCUAGGCCUACCGGGCGUUGGUUGUCCCGGGGAAAGGCAGUAGGCUGGGAUCUUAGGCAAAUCCGGGAUCCUAAGGCUGAGAGCCGAGACCAUUGGGGCUUUGUCCCCGAGAAGUGGUUGAUGCCCUGCUUCCAGGAAAAUCUUCUAAGCUUCAGGUUAUAAGGAACCGUACCCCAAACCGACACAGGUGGUUGGGAUGAGUAUUCUAAGGCGCUUGAGAGAACUCGGGUGAAGGAACUAGGCAAAGUGGUACCGUAACUUCGGGAGAAGGUACGCCACCGAUGGUGAAGGGCUUGCCCCGUAAGCUGUUGGUGGUCGCAGUGAAAAGGCCCCUGCAACUGUUUAUUAAAAACACAGCACUCUGCAAACGCGUAAGCGGACGUAUAGGGUGUGACGCCUGCCCGGUGCCGGAAGGUUAAUUGAUGGGGUUAGCUUCGGCGAAGCUCUUGAUCGAAGCCCCGGUAAACGGCGGCCGUAACUAUAACGGUCCUAAGGUAGCGAAAUUCCUUGUCGGGUAAGUUCCGACCUGCACGAAUGGCGUAAUGAUGGGGGCACUGUCUCCACCCGAGACUCAGUGAAAUCGAAAUCGCAGUGAAGAUGCUGUGUACCCGCGGCUAGACGGAAAGACCCCGUGAACCUUUACUACAGCUUCACAGUGGACUUUGAGCCUGCUUGUGUAGGAUAGCUGGGAGACGUUGAAGCAGUGACGCCAGUCAUUGUGGAGUCAACCUUGAAAUACCAGCCUGGCAUGUUUGAGGUUCUAACCCAGGCCCGUUAUCCGGGUCGGGGACAUUGUGUGGUGGGUAGUUUGACUGGGGCGGUCUCCUCCCAAAGAGUAACGGAGGAGCACAAAGGUACCCUCAGCACGGUCGGACAUCGUGCAAUGAGCGUAAAGGUAGAAGGGUGCUUGACUGCGAGACCUACAAGUCGAGCAGGUGCGAAAGCAGGUCUUAGUGAUCCGGUGGUUCUGUAUGGAAGGGCCAUCGCUCAACGGAUAAAAGGUACUCCGGGGAUAACAGGCUGAUACCGCCCAAGAGUUCAUAUCGACGGCGGUGUUUGGCACCUCGAUGUCGGCUCAUCUCAUCCUGGGGCUGAAGCCGGUCCCAAGGGUAUGGCUGUUCGCCAUUUAAAGAGGUACGCGAGCUGGGUUUAGAACGUCGUGAGACAGUUCGGUCCCUAUCUGCCGUGGGCGUUAGAGAUUUGAGAGGAGCUGCUCCUAGUACGAGAGGACCGGAGUGGACGAACCUCUGGUGUUCCGGUUGUCACGCCAGUGGCAUUGCCGGGUAGCUACGUUCGGACGGGAUAACCGCUGAAAGCAUCUAAGCGGGAAGCCUCCCUCAAGAUGAGAUCUCUCUGGGAACUUGAUUCCCCUAAAGGGCCGUUGAAGACCACAACGUUGAUAGGCGGGGUGUGGAAGCUGCCGUAAGGCGUGAAGCUAACCCGUACUAAUUGCCCGUGAGGCUUGACCAUAUAACGCCAAAGCAGUUGAACUGCAUCUGAUAGAAUGAGUGUUGGAUAAACGCUCU
rnacentral:rRNA from 1 species